rnacentral:rRNA from 1 species
UACGUAGGGGGCAAGCGUUGCCCGGAUUUAUUGGGCGUAAAGAGCGUGUAGGCGGCCAUACAGGUCCGUUGUGAAAACUGGAGGCUUAACCUCCAGACGUCGAUGGAAACCGUAUGGCUAGAGUCCGGAAGAGGAGAGUGGAAUUCCUGGUGUAGCGGUGAAAUGCGCAGAUAUCAGGAAGAACACCCGUGGCGAAGGCGGCUCUCUGGGACGGUACUGACGCUGAGACGCGAAAGCGUGGGGAGCGAACAGG